GUAGGUGGCAAGCGUUGUCCGGAAUUAUUGGGCGUAAAGCGCGCGCAGGCGGGUCCUUUAAGUCUGAUGUGAAAGCCCACGGGCUCAACCGUGGAGGGUCAUUGGAAACUGGGGGACUUGAGUACAGAAGAGGAAAGUGGAAUUCCACGUGUAGCGGUGAAAUGCGUAGAGAUGUGGAGGAACACCAGUGGCGAAGGCGACUUUCUGGUCUGUAACUGACGCUGAGGCGCGAAAGCGUGGGGAGCAAACAGGAUUAGAUACCCGGGUAGUCCACGCCGUAAACGAUGAGUGCUAAGUGUUAGAGGGUUUCCGCCCUUUAGUGCUGCAGCUAACGCAUUAAGCACUCCGCCUGGGGAGUACGGCCGCAAGGCUG
rnacentral:rRNA from 1 species